UUUAAAAGAAGAUUUCUUCGGAUUGACUCUUUUAUUAUCUUAGCGGCGGACGGGUGAGUAACGCGUGAGAAACCUGCCUUUCACAAAGGGAUAGCCUCGGGAAACUGGGAUUAAUACCUUAUGAUACUUUUAGAUAGCAUUAUUUAAAAGUCAAAGCGUAAAGCGGUGAAAGAUGGUCUCGCGUCCCAUUAGCUAGUUGGUGAGAUAAAAGCUCACCAAGGCAACGAUGGGUAACCGGCCUGAGAGGGUGAACGGUCACACUGGAACUGAGACACGGUCCAGACUCCUACGGGAGGCAGCAGUGGGGAAUAUUGCACAAUGGAGGAAACUCUGAUGCAGCGACGCCGCGUGAACGAUGAAGGCUUUCGAGUCGUAAAGUUCUGUCCUAGGGGACGAUAAUGACGGUACCCUAGGAGGAAGCCCCGGCUAAUUACGUGCCAGCAGCCGCGGUAAUACGUAAGGGGCGAGCGUUGUCCGGAAUUAUUGGGCGUAAAGGGUUCGCAGGCGGCCUUUUAAGUCAGAUGUGAAAUCUCACGGCUUAACCGUGGUAAGCAUUUGAAACUGAAAGGCUUGAGUUAAGGAGAGGAAAGUGGAAUUCCUAGUGUAGCGGUGAAAUGCGUAGAUAUUAGGAAGAAUACCAGUGGCGAAGGCGACUUUCUGGACUUAUACUGACGCUGAGGAACGAAAGCAUGGGGAGCAAACAGGAUUAGAUACCCUGGUAGUCCAUGCCGUAAACGAUGAGUGCUAGGUGUUGGGGGUCAAACCUCGGUGCCGCAGCUAACGCAUUAAGCACUCCGCCUGGGGAGUACGUACGCAAGUAUGAAACUCAAAGGAAUUGACGGGGACCCGCACAAGCAGCGGAGCAUGUGGUUUAAUUCGAAGCAACCGAAAAACCUUACCAGGGCUUGACUUGCCUCUGACCCCUCUAAAA
rnacentral:rRNA from 1 species